AAUUUUUAUUUCAUACAUAUCUUUGACGUGGGAAGUAAUUAUUUUUAAUCUGCUCAUAUUUUGCAAUCGAAAAUCUUCUUUGCUCAUAUAUACCUCUCAUGGAGAAUUCCGAACUUGAUUCUCCCAAAGAAGAGGCCGCACAUACCGUUGCACAAGUAAAAGACAAGGGUAUGGUAAAGAUAAAUUGAUUGAAGUGCCUAUUAAUGAUUCCGAAAAUGAUUCGCAUGAAGAAUUAUUUUUUCUUGAAUGGGAUGAUUCUCUAAAACCCCGGAUUGGUCUAGUGUUUCCUACCUUGGGAAGUAGGAGAGAAAUUUUAUGAUGAUUAUGCUGGUUAUUGUGGAUUUGAAACUAGAAAAAGCACAAUCAGACGAGCGAAGGAUGGAACGAUUUGCAAGAGGUGGUGUUUGUGCAAUCGUGAAGGUUUGAGGAUAAGCCUGACCCCUUAGCUGUCCAUACAGUCGCAUUAAUAAUUUUAAAUUUUAGAUGUUUAUAUAUUAUAUGAAUUUUCUAGUUUGAAUUGAGUUUUAAUAAUUUUAUGUACUAACAGAGCUUCUGUAAUUGUUAAUUAGUCAGUAUAAAAUAUUGUUUGGCAUUAACUAUGGAUUGUUUGGCAUCGACUAUGGAUUUUAUCAGUAAAUUUUUUAUAGUCUACUGAAUGAAUUUAUGUUAGUUCAUUUUCGAUUGUUACAUUUUUAUUUGUUAUUUUAAAAAAGUUAAUCUCUAUGCAACUAUAGAAAUCUAUAUUUUAUUCAAUAUGCAGCCAUGCUUGUUCAUAUGUAUUGUUUAAAAAUACAAUAUCCAAUAAUAUUAUUUAUCCACCAGAUGGAACUCAUUCAAUAGUUUUAUAUUAUGUGAUGUGUCAUAAUAAUGUAUAAUACACACUGAAUAAGAUUAUAAUACAUGAUGUACAAAAUCAGAUUUACGCAUUCAAUUCGAUUACAAAUAGAACUAAGUUGCGGAGAAUAGUUUUACACUAUGCUGAUCUGCUAAUAGUAGUUAGUGAAUAAUGCAUAUAUUCAUGAGAAUAAAACAUAGUACUAUGUAGUGAAUAUAAAUAAUUUUAUUUAUUCAUAUAUUUAUGUGGUUACAGUUAUGAAUAACUAUUAAUGAAUAAUAAUUACAUUCAUUAGAAUAAAACAUCAUAUGUAAUGAACAAAUUAUUAAUCAUUGUGUACCUUUGUAACAUUUAUAACAAAUAUUUAUAAAUAAGACUUUCCCCAAAUUGAAUAACGUGCUCAUAAUUUAAUGCAGGGGUUAUUGUUGAAAAAUACAUGUAGUU